UGACCUGCCAGACAACCUUUUUUACUUUUUUUUCAAAGGUUUGAC
rnacentral:rRNA from 1 species